GAUGAACGCUAGCGGCAGGCCUAAUACAUGCAAGUCGAACGAUAUUUUCCAGCUUGCUGGGAGAGAAAGUGGCGCGCGGGUGCGUAACGCGUAUGCAACCUACCUUUAUCAGGGGGAUAGCCCGGAGAAAUUCGGAUUAAUACCGCAUAAAAUCACAGAACGGCAUUGUUCAAUGAUCAAACAUUUAUGGGAUAAAGAUGGGCAUGCGUGUCAUUAGCUAGUUGGCGGGGUAACGGCCCACCAAGGCGACGAUGACUAGGGGAUCUGAGAGGAUGGCCCCCCACACUGGUACUGAGACACGGACCAGACUCCUACGGGAGGCAGCAGUAAGGAAUAUUGGUCAAUGGAGGCAACUCUGAACCAGCCAUGCCGCGUGCAGGAAGACUGCCCUAUGGGUUGUAAACUGCUUUUAUCCGGGAAUAAACCUCCGAUCGUGAUCGGAGCUGAAUGUACCGGAAGAAUAAGGAUCGGCUAACUCCGUGCCAGCCGCCGCAGUAA
rnacentral:rRNA from 1 species